AAAUCCAGUCACAGUAGUAGGCAAGAGCUGUCUCUGUAUUUUUCCUGUGUCCUGGUUAAUGAGCCCUUCUGACUGUGGAACUUUGGAGAAACAGUUGAGUUGCUCUACAAGAAGCUGUCUGUACCCUGCAAAGAUGGUACUUAGGCAGAACUAAUAAGCUUUGCUGAAAUGAAGAUGACUGCAUGUACUAGGAUGUCUCUCCACCUCAUUCCACAGAAAAUGGAGAAUUCAAAGAAGGUCACUGAAGAGCAGACUGAGCACUGUCUACAAUUCUGCUGCUGUACUUAAGAAUACAAAAGUCAUGGGAGUAUGAAGAGAGAACACAAGGAAAAUCCUGUACAUAAUGUAAAUUAAAUGGCUGAAAAUAAAAAUAUUGGAUGGAAAAAAUGGAAGGUGAACACAGACUGUGAGAUAAGAAGUUGGCUGAUGUGUGAGGACAUAAAAAAUGGUUUGCAUGGACGCACUUCUCAAGUUUGACCAAGUCCCUUUGAAUUACAUCCCCUAAAGUAGGUUAUGAUAUAAGCUUUUACUGAGCCCAUGGAACCUCACCUACACAGGAGUUCUUUGCUACGUGUAGAUGCCUUUGAUAAGGAGUGUGAUUGCAUGUAUGAAGGAGUAUGGAAAGAAAAAUUGUGACAACAUUAAAAAGUGUGCUUUUUAUUUUCUUUCAAUAUGACCCAUGUUCUAAAAAAUAGUUAACAAGAAUAUUACACUGUAAUUAUAAUUGGAAUUAAUAUUGAAAAUUCGUGUGCAGAAGUCUUAAAAAUGGAUGAUGUGAGCAAAUCACCAUCCAAGUUGUGAAUUUCAUAAAAUCCAAGGGAUUGAAUAACUACCAAUUCCUGGAGUUCCUUAAAAGUAUGGAUGUUGAAUAUGGGCACAUCAUCUACUUUUCUGAAGUAAUGUGCCAGACCAUUUCACCACCAACUUUUCUUAGGCAAGAGAUGACCACAGUACUGGUUGCUUUCUGGUCUAUGCUAGCUUAUGGAGAAAAUGGCACAUUGCUCAUCAUCUGAGGAUGUACUGAGCCAACCUAACUACAGUGCUGAACUGAAUUAAACAAUAUUUUGGAGGAACGAACAUGUAGACCAAAACCACAAACAUCAUAAGAACAAUUUAUGGUUGCCUGGCAAAAUUUAGAAAUUGGACAAAGUCUUCGUGUGGAUAUCAGAAGGAAAAGUAAUAAGGUCAAGGUCCCUUCGUACAGAGGAGAAAUUAAACCCUGUCUUGGAUGAGUGUCCCAGGCUCUAAACCCUUAGCUUAAAGGACACUGACAACUCCUUUGGCUUUCUCAUUGAGGAAAAUGCAUAGAUGCUGCUUAUAGGAAGACACACGAGAAGUGGCUGAAGUGCCCUGGUUUGUUCAACUUAGAAGAGACUGAAGAGAAACCUAAUUAUGGCUUCCUCACAACGGGGAGCAGGAAGGCAGGUGUUCUUUUCCUCUCUGUUUACCAGCAAUGGAACCUAACAGAAUGUCAUGAAGCUAAGAUAAGAGAGGUUCAGGCUGGAUAUCAGGAAAAGGUUCUUCACUGAGAGAGUGGUCAGGCACUGGAAUAGGCUCCCCAGGAAAGCAAUCAUGGCACUUCCUGGAGCUCAGGAAGCAUCUGGGCAAUGCCCUCAGACAUUGUCAUAGUUUUGUAAUUUUCCUAUUGGUAUUCCACAUCAUAACAUCAUGUACAGCACUGAUACUUAAAGAGUUAAUACUCCAGUUCCGUGGAUUGACAACCUUCCAGAUAAUUGCUUCUCAAAAGAGAAGAAGAACUACAUGUCCCAGAGGACCUCACAGUCAGAGAAGGAAGAUACAUCACGGAAGUCAUGGGAUCUGUCUCUUUUGGCCCUCUCUCUCUCUGGCAGCCAGACAGAGGGGUAGGUGUGCUUCCAAGCCAUGCACCUUCAUUCAAGUGGGCCUUUUGGUUUCGGAAACUUUCUCUUAUUUUACUUGAUUUAUUACCUUUAAUUUCAAUUAGAUUGUAUCAUAUUGUGUUAUCUUGCAUUCCGAUAUCAGUUAGUAAAAUAAGUUUUCCUCCUUAGAUCAUUGCUGCUGUUCCUUUCUUAUUCCCCCUCUGAGCCCAGCACUUGUUCCCCUACCCCUUUCCCUUUUCCCUUCCCAUUUUUGGGAGCCAGGGGGCCUACAGGCCUACUGCCCCCCCGUCAUGAGCAUAGAUUGAUCUCGAUAACUCCGUGACAGUUUUUGGUGGAGAAUGCGGGCAUUCCAAAGCUUUUAAGAUUAGC
ensembl:lncRNA